GCUUGCUAUCUGCUGACGAGCGGCGGACGGGUGAGUAAUGCUUGGGAAUAUGCCUUUUGGUGGGGGACAACAGUUGGAAACGACUGCUAAUACCGCAUAACGUCUACGGACCAAAGUGGGGGACCUUCGGGCCUCACGCCAAGAGAUUAGCCCAAGUGGGAUUAGCUAGUUGGUGAGGUAAUGGCUCACCAAGGCGACGAUCCCUAGCUGGUUUGAGAGGAUGAUCAGCCACACUGGAACUGAGACACGGUCCAGACUCCUACGGGAGGCAGCAGUGGGGAAUAUUGCACAAUGGGCGCAAGCCUGAUGC
rnacentral:rRNA from 1 species